rnacentral:lncRNA from 1 species
AUAUUUGUCCAUUUAAAAUUAAAUUAUUUCAUUAAGUAUAAUAUUAAUUCACUUAUCUAUUCUAUUUUACUACAUCAUCGGAUUAAAAACCAUAUGUCUAAAAUUUAAUCUCUUCUUCUAAAAUCCAUGGACUUCCUUUAUCUCUCAGAAAUGAAAAACUAAAAAAAAUCCUUUUCCUCACUCUUUCUUGCUCACAGAUUGUAAAUGAGAGAAAAUAAUCAUCUUCCUCCUCUCUUUCACAGAACAAUCACCAAUGAGACCACCACUGCAUUUUCGAUAAUCACUAACACAUUGCUUUACAAAAACAAACUAACAACGAAAGAAAUUUGAGAUAUGUUGCUCAUCGUCUUCUUCUUCAGAUCUUCUUUCAGAUCUAUGCACCUAUACAUCGUCUCCUUCUAUUUCUUCUUUUAGAUCUAUGUCUAUACGCAUAGUCCACUUCUACUUCUGUUUUCAGAUAUAUGCAUCUAUCUUCUCAUUUUCUCCCAUUUCAUUCAGAUCUACGCAUCGUGGUAGCUGGUAUUCCCUAUUCGACGAAGAUGAGCGAAAGAUGAAGGUUGUCAUCAUAGAUGUCGAUCUCUUCUUUUCAUUUCCAGCUUGGGUGACAACGACAUUAAUGUUGUAUAGACAAGACAUACGUUCGAUGAAAUUCCUAGCCUAAUUGUAGUUUAUUGGAAAGUGAUAAUUUUUGGAUAUUUAAAAAUCUGUGAGGUGAAAAUAGUUGUAAAAGUUUUUGAAGAAACAAAUAUUUUUAUUCUGGAUAUGUAAAUAUUGUUAUUUUGGAUACGUAAAUAUUGCACUUUUCCUAUACUUUUGUUGCAUAUUCUAAUAUGUUGAUAUUGUUAUUCUUCAUUGUCCUUUUAGAACUUUGGGUUGAAUUCCCGAACGUAUCUAGUUGAUGUGAUUAAAUAAAAUUAAUUACAUAAAUUACGUUAAUUUGAGUUCUUAGUAAUCACCGAAUUUAAUUCAAUUUACGAUAAUUUUAAUUUUUAAUAAUGUCAUGAUUUAGUUUAAUUAAUGGUAAUUUUAAUUCUUAGUUAUUUAAUUUAAUUUAAUUU